rnacentral:lncRNA from 1 species
ACAUGAACAGGCUGUGACAAAAUGUAAAUGCCAUUACUCAGAAUUCCAUUCAUUACAACAACACCAUUCCAAAUGACAUUGCAAUAAUCCUUUUUUAUUGAUAUUUCAUAACCAUUUUUGGCCAAAAGGCCUACAGAAAUGAUAUUCAAUAGAAAACUUGGACAAUAGUGACAAUCACUAAGGACAUUUACAUGAGAGCUGAAUUCAAGUUUAAGAAUUC